UACAGAGGUCUCAAGCGUUGUUCGGAUUCAUUGGGCGUAAAGGGUGCGUAGGUGGCGCGGUAAGUCGGGUGUGAAAUUUCGGAGCUUAACUCCGAAACUGCAUUCGAUACUGCCGUGCUUGAGGACUGGAGAGGAGACUGGAAUUUACGGUGUAGCAGUGAAAUGCGUAGAGAUCGUAAGGAAGACCAGUGGCGAAGGCGGGUCUCUGGCCAGUUCCUGACACUGAGGCACGAAGGCCAGGGAGCAAACGGG
rnacentral:rRNA from 1 species